GCUGACAGUAUUUUUAAAGUCUAUUCAGGGUGAAAUGAGUAUUGCUCAUAAAUUCAAGAGUUCAGUACAAUGAGAUGCUUUUUAAAGAUUGGUGUUUUCAGAAAUAGGGUCUGCAAUUGCUUUGUCUGCAAGCUAGAGAAACAAUCUUGUGCCUUCAGUGGGAACUUCUCUUGCAUGAAUAUUCUCUAGGGUAUAGAGCAAAGGUAGUUGGGAUUGUUGAGUUGGGGGCUGGGAGAGAAGUAAGAAAUUUCCCUGCUGUCUGCAACUUUUAAUUACCUUGAUCAAUGUCCAGGAGACUCAGACUGCCCGAACAAUGUGGACUCAAAAAAACAGUUCCAUGGAAAUUGCUGAUGGAUUAAUUGCUGGGUGUCUUUUUCCACCUUGUAUCUGAUGAUCGCUGCUGAAGGAACCUCAAAACAUACUGGACUGAACACUGUAAAACCACAUGACAGUCAGUGUUGGGACAGUAAAUAACAAGCUGUAAAUGAGGAUAUCUUGAAAAUCAGAUCUUACGAAGAGAAUGGACUGUGAGACCAGAUGCUCCAUCCUGUUGAAGAUAGGAUGAAAAGAAAGUACCUUCUGUCUUUCCUUCUCGGGAUUCUUACCUAAAGGGGCCUUCGUCUGAUCAAAACUUCAUCAUGUGAGCCAUGUACUUCUGGUACUGUAGCUGAAAUGCUGCACUUGUCCUCAGAAUGGAUUAACAAGUGAACAAGAACAGCUGUGAGCUGUCACCUGGAGAAGGCUUGGAAUCAUUUCCACUGACUUUGGCGACUGGUGAUGAGAUGAAGCGUGCUCUUUGUUCAAAAACCUGGACGAGAAUGGAGAUGUUGCUAUAUAAAGACCAUGAACAAAAGCCAUUACUCUCACUGGCA